UCAUUUUUUAUACGCCCGUAUAAAAUACGGGACGUAUUAUGUGAAACCCCUUGGCGGCGGGCGGGCGGCGGGCGGCGGGCGGAAGGCAUCACUUUGUCCGGACUCUAAUUCAAAUUGUAUUCAUCCGAUCUUCACCAAACUUGGUCAGCAGUUGCAUCUAGUUGAUAUCUAGGCCAAGUUCGAAUAUGGGUCAUGCCGGGUCAAAAACUAGGUCAUAGGGUCAAUUAGUGCAUUUUCAACGGCGCCACUUUGUCCGGACUCUAAUUCAAAUAGUUUUCAUCCGAUCUUCACCAAACUUGCUCAGAAGUUGAGUCUAGACAAUAUCUAGGCCAAGUUGGAAUAUGGGUCAUGCC